UGGGGAAUAUUGGACAAUGGGGGAAACCCUGAUCCAGCGACGCCGCGUGUGUGAAGAAGGCCUGCGGGUUGUAAAGCACUUUUAGUGGGGACAAAAAGCUACGGAUUAAUACUCUGUGGUCUUGAUUUAACCCAAAGAAAAAGCACCGGCUAACUCUGUGCCAGCAGCCGCGGUAAUACAGAGGGUGCGAGCGUUAAUCGGAAUUACUGGGCGUAAAGCGCGCGUAGACGGUUUUGUAAGUCAGAUGUGAAAUCCCUGGGCUCAACCUGGGAACUGCAUUUGAAACUGCAUGGCUAGAGUAUCGAAGAGGGAAGUGGAAUUUCCGGUGUAGCGGUGAAAUGCGUAGAUAUCGGAAGGAACACCAGUGGCGAAAGCGGCUUCCUGGUCCAGCACCGACGUUCAGGCACGAAAGCGUGGGGAGCAAACAGGAUUAGAUACCCUGGUAGUCCACGCCAUAAACGAUGAGAACUAGACGUUGGGGGGGUAAGCCUCUCAGUGUCGCAGCUAACGCGUUAAGUUCUCCGCCUGGGGAGUACGGCCGCAAGGUUG
rnacentral:rRNA from 1 species